CUUCGGUGCUUGGCCCCUAAUAAAACACAAAUGUAUGGUUGCUUUCUUAAAGUAAAACACACAGGCUGUUAUUGUAAAAACUUAUAUCCUUUAAACUCAAAAAGUUAAUUGUACUUAUUUUUGAUAUAAGUACAUAGUUAAGGCCACCUAAUAUAUAGUGGGACCAUAUUUCCACCUCUUUAAGCGGGCACGGUUCAGAGUAAUCACACUAGUCAAGCCAACCACACUUUGGGGGUCAAAUGUACUCGGGCAUGGUUCAGAUCACCUAGUGUGAGUACACUCUUACUGAUGAACUGAUUCCUGUGUUUUCAGAUUAUCCAGAUGUUCAUAUGUUUGCAAAAAGGUCUAUCAGAGACAAAACCAAGCUGAAAUUCACCUGUCUAGCCACUGGCUUCUACCACAAAGACCUGAUGAUGAACAUUACGAAAUAUCGCACAUCUCUGCCUGAAGAUGAGACUGAAUCCACAGGAAUCAGACCAAACCAUGAUGGAUCCUUCCAGAUGAGGAAGAGUGUGGAGAUCAAGGAGGAGGAAAAAGAUGAAUAUGAUUGUUUUGUGUCCCACAGUUCCCUUAGUGAACCAAUUAUCACUAAAUGGGGUAAAGCAGUCACACAUAGACAUAAAUAUCACCUGAUAUUAGAUUAAAAAAAAUUGUAAACUUCAAUUUUCCCCCUUUUUGUUUUUUGAUAUACUUAAUUAUUUUAUUUUUUAUCUUUAUACAUUUGAUUGGCUGGAAAAUGCUCUCCAGAGUCUGUCUCAGUUUUGAUUGGAGCAGUGAUUGUAGGUGUGCUUGUGCUGGCAGUUGUUGCUUUAGUGGUUUUCAUUUUAAAUGAGAAAAAGAUUAUUGGUGAGUACUGACUGAUUAAUGAUGAUCUACACAUUCUUGUUGUUUUUGGUUUUGUGUUGUAAAGCAAAACUGAGUUUAUUUUUCACUGGUAAAAUGGGUCAAAAUAGAGAUUUAACUGACACUGAAAAGUCAAAAUGAUGAAAUGCCCAUGAGAAUGAUGCAACACAGAAAUAUCAAAAUGACCCGCUCAUUGCAACCCUUCUGCCCCACUGGGCAUUUCAUGUCUGAUGGUCAUGUCUUAAUUCUGAAAUUUCUAUAGUUAUGUUUCCUUCUCAUGAGCAUUUCAUAAUAUGCAACUAAAAUAUGCUUAAUAUGUAUGAUCAGAAUUAUUUUCAAUAACUGUUAUUUUUAAACUACAAUCAAUUUAAACUAAACUGUAACUAAAUUAAAGAAAAUACUAUAUAUGUCACACUGUUUAGAUUUUAAAAGCAGAAACGAACAUGAACCAGAAGACCAUCAUGCUGAAGUUCCUCUGAAAAAAGGACGAGACACCAGUGGUUUAGACGAUAAAGAUUGGUGGGAACUUAAGGAACUUAACCAGGACUCAGGACGAUACACUAGAAGUGAGCCACACAAGGAUGUUAGCUAACUGGUAAUUAUAUAUUAAAUGUUUUGACACAGUUCUGUUUCUCUGCAAGCUCUAGUGAAGCACAUUCGAAAUAUCU